rnacentral:rRNA from 1 species
AUGACAAUAAAGAUUGCUGGCAAUUUCUCUGGAAAGGAAAUAAAUACUCCAACAAAAAGAUUUAUCUGCAACUUAUUGGAAACCCACCAAAGGCAGCACCACCAUUUCAGUGGAUUUGGAAGUCAUGCAACCUGCCCAAACAUUUUUUUCUUCUGGUUGCUUCUGCUGGAUAGACUAAAUACUAGAGACCUACUAAUCAGGAAGAAUUUUCAAAUAGAAAACAGGAGGUGUGUCCUAUGUGAUAAUGAGCCCAAUGAAUACCUACAACAUCUCUUCUUUGAAUGUGACUUCAGCAGAAAUUUCUGGGCUACAAUAGAUAUGGAAUGGAAUACAGAUCUUAAUACUAUUGAAAUGCUAAUGUAGGGCAAAAGUAGAGAUAAUAGCCAAGGAUUUAAGGAGAAGAUAAUAGCAGGGUGCUGGAGCAUAUGGAAGCAUAGGAAUGGCAUUAUCUUUGACAAUAUUGACAGAAGUAUGACUCACUGCUUAUAAAAUUUCAAAGAGCAUUUUAGCACCAUUAUCAAGAAAGCAAGACCUAGUUUAAGGGAUGGGAUGCAAUCCUGGUUGGAUACAUUGUAA